rnacentral:tRNA from 1 species
GCCUGGGUGGCUCAGUCAGUUGAGCAUCCGACUUCGGCUCAGGUCGUGAUCUCAGCUCGUGAGUUCGAGCCCCACGUCAGGCU